AACGAACGCUGGCGGCAGGCCUAACACAUGCAAGUCGAGCGAGAUUUUCGGAUCUAGCGGCGGACGGGUGAGUAACGCGUGGGAACGUACCCUUUUCUACGGAAUAGCCUCGGGAAACUGGGAGUAAUACCGUAUACGCCCUUUGGGGGAAAGAUUUAUCGGAGAAGGAUCGGCCCGCGUUGGAUUAGGUAGUUGGUGGGGUAACGGCCUACCAAGCCGACGAUCCAUAGCUGGUUUGAGAGGAUGAUCAGCCACACUGGGACUGAGACACGGCCCAGACUCCUACGGGAGGCAGCAGUGGGGAAUCUUAGACAAUGGGGGAAACCCUGAUCUAGCCAUGCCGCGUGAGCGAUGAAGGCCUUAGGGUUGUAAAGCUCUUUCAGCUGGGAAGAUAAUGACGGUACCAGCAGAAGAAGCCCCGGCUAACUCCGUG
rnacentral:rRNA from 1 species